rnacentral:rRNA from 1 species
AAAUUGAAGAGUUUGAUCAUGGCUCAGAUUGAACGCUGGCGGCAGGCCUAACACAUGCAAGUCGAACGGUAACAGGAAGCAGCUUGCUGCUUUGCUGACGAGUGGCGGACGGGUGAGUAAUGUCUGGGAAACUGCCUGAUGGAGGGGGAUAACUACUGGAAACGGUGGCUAAUACCGCAUAACGUCGCAAGACCAAAGAGGGGGACCUUCGGGCCUCUUGCCAUCAGAUGUGCCCAGAUGGGAUUAGCUUGUUGGUGAGGUAACGGCUCACCAAGGCGACGAUCCCUAGCUGGUCUGAGAGGAUGACCAGCCACACUGGAACUGAGACACGGUCCAGACUCCUACGGGAGGCAGCAGUGGGGAAUAUUGCACAAUGGGCGCAAGCCUGAUGCAGCCAUGCCGCGUGUAUGAAGAAGGCCUUCGGGUUGUAAAGUACUUUCAGCGGGGAGGAAGGUGUUGCGGUUAAUAACCGCAGCAAUUGACGUUACCCGCAGAAGAAGCACCGGCUAACUCCGUGCCAGCAGCCGCGGUAAUACGGAGGGUGCAAGCGUUAAUCGGAAUUACUGGGCGUAAAGCGCACGCAGGCGGUCUGUCAAGUCGGAUGUGAAAUCCCCGGGCUCAACCUGGGAACUGCAUUCGAAACUGGCAGGCUUGAGUCUUGUAGAGGGGGGUAGAAUUCCAGGUGUAGCGGUGAAAUGCGUAGAGAUCUGGAGGAAUACCGGUGGCGAAGGCGGCCCCCUGGACAAAGACUGACGCUCAGGUGCGAAAGCGUGGGGAGCAAACAGGAUUAGAUACCCUGGUAGUCCACGCCGUAAACGAUGUCUACUUGGAGGUUGUGCCCUUGAGGCGUGGCUUCCGGAGCUAACGCGUUAAGUAGACCGCCUGGGGAGUACAGCCGCAAGGUUAAAACUCAAAUGAAUUGACGGGGGCCCGCACAAGCGGUGGAGCAUGUGGUUUAAUUCGAUGCAACGCGAAGAACCUUACCUGGUCUUGACAUCCACGGAAGUUUUCAGAGAUGAGAAUGUGCCUUCGGGAACCGUGAGACAGGUGCUGCAUGGCUGUCGUCAGCUCGUGUUGUGAAAUGUUGGGUUAAGUCCCGCAACGAGCGCAACCCUUAUCCUUUGUUGCCAGCGAUUAGGUCGGGAACUCAAAGGAGACUGCCAGUGAUAAACUGGAGGAAGGUGGGGAUGACGUCAAGUCAUCAUGGCCCUUACGACCAGGGCUACACACGUGCUACAAUGGCGCAUACAAAGAGAAGCGACCUCGCGAGAGCAAGCGGACCUCAUAAAGUGCGUCGUAGUCCGGAUUGGAGUCUGCAACUCGACUCCAUGAAGUCGGAAUCGCUAGUAAUCGUGGAUCAGAAUGCCACGGUGAAUACGUUCCCGGGCCUUGUACACACCGCCCGUCACACCAUGGGAGUGGGUUGCAAAAGAAGUAGGUAGCUUAACCUUCGGGAGGGCGCUUACCACUUUGUGAUUCAUGACUGGGGUGAAGUCGUAACAAGGUAACCGUAGGGGAACCUGCGGUUGGAUCACCUCCUUACCUGAAAGAA